rnacentral:rRNA from 1 species
GAUGAACGCUGACAGAAUGCUUAACACAUGCAAGUCUACUUGAAUUUGGGUUUUUUAACUUAGAUUUGGGUGGCGGACGGGUGAGUAACGCGUAAAGAACUUGCCUCACAGCUAGGGACAACAUUUGGAAACGAAUGCUAAUACCUGAUAUUAUGAUUAUAAGGCAUCUUAGGAUUAUGAAAGCUAUAUGCGCUGUGAGAGAGCUUUGCGUCCCAUUAGCUAGUUGGAGGGGUAACGGCUCACCAAGGCGAUGAUGGGUAGCCGGCCUGAGAGGGUGAACGGCCACAAGGGGACUGAGACACGGCCCUUACUCCUACGGGAGGCAGCAGUGGGGAAUAUUGGACAAUGGACCAAGAGUCUGAUCCAGCAAUUCUGUGUGCACGAUGACGUUUUUCGGAAUGUAAAGUGCUUCCAGUUGGGAAGAAAAAAAUGACGGUACCAACAGAAGAAGUGACGGCUAAAUACGUG